rnacentral:rRNA from 1 species
GACAGAGGAUGCAAGCGUUGUUCGGAAUCAUUGGGCGUAAAGGGUGCGUAGGCGGUUCCAUUAGUCUGGUGUGAAAGUCCAGGGCUCAGCCUUGGAAGGGCGCCGGAAACGGUGGAGCUUGAGGGCCGGAGAGGAGGGUGGAAUUCCCGGUGUAGCGGUGAAAUGCAUAGAUAUCGGGAGGAACACCGGUGGCGAAAGCGACUCUCUGGACGGCAACUGACGCUGAGGCACGAAAGCGUGGGGAG